rnacentral:rRNA from 1 species
UACGAAGGGGGCUAGCGUUGCUCGGAAUCACUGGGCGUAAAGGGUGCGUAGGCGGGUCUUUAAGUCAGGGGUGAAAUCCUGGAGCUCAACUCCAGAACUGCCUUUGAUACUGAAGAUCUUGAGUUCGGGAGAGGUGAGUGGAACUGCGAGUGUAGAGGUGAAAUUCGUAGAUAUUCGCAAGAACACCCGUGGCGAAGGCGGCUCACUGGCCCGAUACUGACGCUGAGGCACGAAAGCGUGGGGAGCAAACAGG